rnacentral:rRNA from 1 species
UACGGAGGGAGCUAGCGUUAUUCGGAAUUACUGGGCGUAAAGCGCACGUAGGCGGCUUUGUAAGUUAGAGGUGAAAGCCUGGAGCUCAACUCCAGAACUGCCUUUAAGACUGCAUCGCUUGAAUCCAGGAGAGGUGAGUGGAAUUCCGAGUGUAGAGGUGAAAUCCGUAGAUAUUCGGAAGAACACCAGUGGCGAAGGCGGCUCACUGGACUGGUAUUGACGCUGAGGUGCGAAAGCGUGGGGAGCAAACAGG